rnacentral:rRNA from 1 species
UACGUAGGUGGCAAGCGUUAUCCGGAAUUAUUGGGCGUAAAGAGCGCGCAGGUGGUUGAUUAAGUCUGAUGUGAAAACCCACGGCUUAACCGUGGAGGGUCAUUGGAAACUGGUCGACUUGAGUGCAGAAGAGGGAAGUGGAAUUCCAUGUGUAGCGGUGAAAUGCGUAGAGAUAUGGAGGAACACCAGUGGCGAAGGCGGCUUCCUGGUCUGUAACUGACACUGAGGCGCGAAAGCGUGGGGAGCAAACAGGAUUAGAUACCCGU